UCCUUAUUCAAUCUGGUGAAGAAAUGAAAAGAGGAGUUUGUCUGACUGUCAACCUACGAGCACCAAACACGUGGAGGACUGUACACACACCUGUGGAGGAUGUAGAGGACCAUCUCUUUGCUUCCUGCACUGGCAGCGUGGUGACGUAACCUGCAGCCGGACGAGUCGAGUGACGUGAGGUCGGCUCCCUCCAGGUGCGGCUCCCUCCCUCCAGGUGCAGCUCCCUCCAGGUGCGGCUCCUGCAGCUGAUGAUUCAAUUCAAAGACACAUGGGCAGCCUGACCAAAACAAGACAAAGAGCUGUUAACAUGUAUGCUACACCACGCUGCCUCACCUGCUUCCUUCAACAUUUGGUGUUUCCUCGCUCUGAACUCUGAAGAGUAGGAUCUGUGCUGCAGCUGGAAGGAUUUUCUUUAGAUUAAAGUUUACUUGUUAGCUGUUUUAGUUUUCUCAGUCAUAGUUUGUUGUUCUUAUCUUUCAGCUAUAGAUUUAGUUUUAAGUCUGUUUUCUUUAAUUUUCAUUUGCAGUUUUCUCUUAACACACUUUGAUAAUACAAUUUAAUAAUUUUAAAGUCUUAAUUUGUUUCAUGUUUGUGUUGUCAGCAUCUUCAAUUCCUAAUAGAUGUUUUGUUGUAGUUGUUUCCUUCUUUGUCACAAAGCUGUGACAUGUCUUCAUUUGAAGUUUGGAUUUUUUUAUA